rnacentral:lncRNA from 1 species
GAUGAAAGUUGAGUGUUUCUAAAAUCGGCUGCAAUGUCUUCACAACGAAGUUUUCUACUCAAUAUAAUUGGUAGUAGUGUUGAGGUGAAAUUUAUUUGAUUUUAUCGUUCACUAGUUUGAAUAUUUGUUUACUUAUACAUUCCUGAAAUUCUUUGAUACCUCCUUACCUUUUCAAACUCCACAUACACCAUGAUAUUGAUAAUUCAAUUAAUUACUACAACCUCACAUCAUCUUUAAAUAGAGUUGAUAUGUCUGGGUACUUGUUAUAUCUUUUUAUUUAUGAGGACAACUAUUGAGAUGUAAUAUGAGGCUGUGGUAAUUUAAUGAAUUUACAAUAUUGCAUUAUCGAAUUUGUGGAGUUUGAAAACAGUAAGAAGUAUAAAAGAACUUCAGUCAUGUAUAACAAAACAAAUAUUUAAAAGUAGUGGAACGAAGAAAUCAUAUAAAUUUUACGUCAACACUACAACAAAUUGUUUUAACUAGUUGAAUUACUCACACGUUACGACGAGUCUCCGGUAGAUUUUGUUUCACUUGUUACAUUUUCGGUACGAUAUACACACUCGGUAUAAAAAUUGUAAUAGAUAUGUCCUAGAUGAAAUCUAUCCGUGUUUUACAUUGAUCGAAAAACGUAAAAACGAAUGCCAGCACAACACUUUUCUUGACGCGCAAGAGCAUGGCAAACAUUGCAUUUGUGUGUCAUGGCACACUUUGAUGACAUACGUUUACGACACUCGUUUUCGACACACGUUUAUGACACUCGUUUAAGACACACAUUUAUGACACAUAUUUUGACGUUCAUUUACGCAUGUCAUACUUUUAAUUAUUUAAAAACAUUAUAGAAUUACUAAUUUACCAUGGAUACAUAUAUAAUAACAAAAACAAUAAAUUCAUUUCAUAAUGAAAUACAUACAUACAUAUAUAUACACACACACUAACACCAAAAUAACCCGUUGUAUAAUCAUUUGUCAAGUAUACUACAAAUAUUUUAACCUGAAUAAAAAUAUUGUUUGUCGAAACAUUCUUAUCGACACCUAAAAUAAUUGUUUGUCACCUAAAAUUAAAGGUUGCCUCAAAACUUGACCCUAUUUCGCGAACUCCAUCAAUAUCCGCAUUCGUGUAAUCAUCUUUCCCUCCCCCACCCUGGAAAAAAUUAAAUAAAAGAAAUCUUAAAUCAACACUCAAAUACUUUGUUAUUUUUUAAAGAAAAUCUUAUAGCAAAAGCAACAAACAGAACAAAGGAUCUAUUAUUUAUUAAUCUUUAUUGUUGUAUACAAUACACCCCUUAUUUUGUACUUAUCAAAAUUCAAAGGAUCUUUAUUGCUGCAUACAAUACACCCCUUAUUUUGUACUUAUCAAAAUUCAAAGGAUAACUAAGACAUCUGACUACAGUUAAAGACUUUGUUAAAACUGUGUCUAGUAAACUGUAAACUAGAAGAAUUAUCUAGGAUAGAGGUAAUAUUGUGUACAUAUAAGCAUUAAUGUUGAGAGAUAGAAUUCGUCUAUAAACAUAUGUUACCAAAACCAAAACCUGAUUAGAAGUUUGAUAAUUACCAAAAGGCUUUAACUGAGUUUAUCACCCAUUCAAGUUCAAACCAAAACCUGAAUAUUGAAAUUGGUUUGGCCUCUAAAAU